UGGAUGGAUGGAUGGGUGGAUGGAUGGGUGGGUGGAUGGACAGAUGGACAGGCGAAUGGAUGGAUGGAUGAUUGGAUGUGUCAGCAUAUGACAAGCAGGUCCAAAUCCCAUUUAACAUAGACGGUCUGUGGCCUGGGAUCCUGAAAACAGCCUAUGCUGGUGGCCUUCACCUGGGCCUCCCUCAUGCUCCUUGUAGCUUAUCAGCCACAUUCCCUGGGAGGGCAACAUGCCCAUCCAGCCCUUGGCACACUGAACCCCAGAUGUAGAUUUAUGUCUCAACCUGGAGCACCCUGAGGGUGGCAUGUCUGGUCCUCUCUGACCCCAGCCAGGGUCCAGACCAAGGCUGAGCCAAAAGCAAGGGCUUGGUGAGGGCUUGGUGAGCACGCCCACAGGGCUGGGACCCAGGAGGCCUUGGGCUUGGGCUCUAUUUAGAGCAGCAAAGCCAAUGCCCACCCUCUCACCAUGCCAGGCCUCUCUCCCUAAGGUCCUGCCAGGACUCCUUUAGCCAUUGGGGUCCUCUAGGGACCUGUCACCUCACCCUCCCUGAGGCAGCCUCAGACCUGAGAGAAGACACCCCUGUUGCCCCUGUCCUGACCCUGAGGGUUCAUGGGAGGGGAAGGCAUUGGUUCAGCCCCCACCCACACAGGCAUGGGUCUGGCAGACCCACAGUGUUUUGCAGAUUGCCGGGAGCCACUUCCCUGGCUGGUGCUGGACCUGCCACAGGAGGACCUGGAGGAAGAUGCCCCAGGAGCCAGCCUGUGGCCCACCACCGUCACCCUGCUCACCCUCUUCCUACUGAGCCUCUUCUACAGCACAGCACUGACUGUGACAAGCGUGCGGGGCCCAGCUGACAGCAGAGAGGGCCCCCAGUACUGAGCAGAGGCCAGCCAGGCACAGGGAGGAAUCUGGAGGAGCCUCCUGGAACCCCAGCUGGAUGCCAGAGCUCAGCCCUGCUCAGAAGCUGCGACUUACCCCACACGCAGGCCUUGCUGGUGCAAUAAACUGAUCCCAAAGACAAA